CUGCCCCGGGCAGCUUCAAUUCCGUAGUGCAUUGCAGUGUAGACCGUACGAACACGACUGCAAGCAUUGUGGGAGUGAAGCGGACCGUUUGGCACCAACUG
rnacentral:pre_miRNA from 1 species